AGUGAACGCUGGCGGUAGGCCUAACACAUGCAAGUCGAACGGCAGCACAGUAAGAGCUUGCUCUUACGGGUGGCGAGUGGCGGACGGGUGAGGAAUACAUCGGAAUCUACUUUUUCGUGGGGGAUAACGUAGGGAAACUUACGCUAAUACCGCAUACGACCUACGGGUGAAAGCAGGGGAUCUUCGGACCUUGCGCGAUUGAAUGAGCCGAUGUCGGAUUAGCUAGUUGGCGGGGUAAAGGCCCACCAAGGCGACGAUCCGUAGCUGGUCUGAGAGGAUGAUAAGCCACACUGGAACUGAGACACGGUCCAGACUCCUACGGGAGGCAGCAGUGGGGAAUAUUGGACAAUGGGGGCAAGCCUGAUCCAGCCAUACCGCGUGGGUGAAGAAGGCCUUCGGGUUGUAAAGCCCUUUUGUUGGGAAAGAAAAGCAGCAGGUUAAUACCCCGCCGUUCUGACGGUACCCAAAGAAUAAGCACCGGCUAACUUCGUG
rnacentral:rRNA from 1 species